GGACGGGUUCCCGAGUGGACAAAGGGGGCAGACUGUAAAUCUGCUGGCAGACGCCUUCGGAGGUUCGAACCCUCCCCCGUCCA
rnacentral:tRNA from 1 species